CUCAGUAAGCCACACCUGACGUCCCGUGUGGACCAGAGUGGAUAUCAAACACCCAUCUGCCACUGACAUGAUGUCCUCCACUGGGACCAGCUCGGGCAUAGGCAGAGUGUGUAAGCUAGCACACUGUGCAGACACUAGGGUGGAGAGCCAUGAGUAUGGACUUCAUCUGAGCCAAUUCGUUUGUCAACUGACCCACCUUAGAAGACAGUUUGACAGACUUUGCCUUCUUCCUGGGGGGAGCACCUACAGUCUCAGACGCUCAUCGUCUAGACUGCACUGGUUGGGCUGGAGCCAGUACCUCUGAUCAAGAGAGGCCGACAUUACUAGCCAGGGAUUCCACAUCUGCCAGCCUAGCAGCACUGAAUGUGCGAGGCAUGAAGCUGCAGUUCAUGCACAGACCCUCCUUCAGAUGUUCAAUACCAAGACAUGAAGGGCAAAGAUUCAGUACUGAGUAACUACCCAGUAUGAUGCUUCAUUUCAUUCUCUAUUAAGUAAUAAAAAGCUACACUAUAGAUCAAUUUCAUGUAAAGUAACUCAUUAUAUCCCCAUUUACUAAUAAUUAACUAGUAGUACUCAUUAGUUUCCUUGUAACUAUGCAAAGGAUGUGUACCUUUCUAUUGUGAAAUGUUACCAGAAUCACACAUAAACUAUGUGAGUGUGAUGUAUAAUAAUAACUUCAAUGAGUUGAAUGAAUUUUUUUGCUGCAAGGACAGCCACAUUUCAAAAUAUAGCUAUAGCUGAAGUCAAGCUUAGAUUCAGGUAAACCUCCUGAAGCCUGAUUGUUAUCUGCUAAAUUAAAUGUAAUAAAUUGUUUCAGAAGUCUGUAUUAACUGUAUUUUUUACCAGAUUGUGUCAUAUAUUCCAGCUUUGCAUCACAUCACGUGCUCUUCACAUUAUUCUUAUUUGUUUGUCUGAUCUGACUGUCUUUGGCUCUGGCCUGGUACAACUCUUGUCCGUGCUUUAAACAACGUAAACUUG